UAUUUUCACUCCUUUCUACUGAGAAGGGAAAACACCAAAAUUGAGCAGCCUGCUCCUCUGUAAGUGAAUGAAUAAGCAUGAAUAAGCACUUGCUUUUCGUUGUGGGUGAGUCAAACGGCCUGGCGUGUAUGCAAGUAAGAACUAGAGCAGAGGCUGCUCACCUGCAAACUCACAUCAGGGCUUCUUCCCAGAAUUAUGCUAUUUUUUUGUUUGUAUGUGUGUUGUUGUCGGCUUCUUUUCAUACGGAUUUGGAUGAAGCUAUUUAAACACAUGAGAUAGCAGCCACUAGGCCUGUAUCUAAGAAGGACUAUACAUGUUUUCAGAUUAAAAUGUGCUCUCCUGACUAAAAAGGUUGGAUACCACUGACCUAAAUCAUCUGCUAGGAUUUCCUUUUCUAUCCCAGCAGGCUAUACUUACACUCAUGGUGAAGAGAGCAGGAUUUCAAAGAGCAAAUGGAAACAUGCAAGACUUUUUGAUGCAAGUCAUAGAACUGGCACACCGUCACUUGGACCACACUUUUUUGGCUAAAGCAAGUCACAAGGCCAGACCCAGAUUCAAGGGCUGGGGAAAUCAAUUCCAUCUCUCAGUGGAAGGCGCAACCAACUUAUGCCACCAUAGGCUGAAGAAUUAUGGCCAUUUUUGCAAUCAAUUCACUACAUGAGUUUAAUUUUAAGAUGAUGAAAAAAAUAGGUCAAAAAUUUUAUAAAAAAUGUUGUAACACUGGAUUAUGGUGAUAGUCGCACAACUAUAAAUUUACUAAAAAUCAUUGAACUA